rnacentral:rRNA from 1 species
GAAAAGAACCACAGGAAUGCCAGUAACGCGAGUGAGCGCACAGCCAAUUGAAUCUGGCGCAGUCCGAGUUGUAAUUUGUAGAGAUGCUUUGACGCGGUGCCUUCCGAGUUCCUGGAACGAGACGCCAUAGAGGGUGAGAGCCCCGUACGGUCGGACACAUAGCCUCUGUAAAGCUCCUUCGACGAGUCGAGUAGUUUGGGAAUGCUGCUCAAAAUGGGAGGUAUAUUUCUUCUAAAGCUAAAUACCGGCCAGAGACCGAUAGCGCACAAGUAGAGUGAUCGAAAGAUGAAAAGCACUUUGAAAAGAGGGUUAAACAGCACGUGAAAUUGUUAAAAGGGAAGCGCUUGUGACCAGACUUGCGCCCGGCGAAUCAUCCAGCGUUCUCGCUGGUGCACUUCGCCGGCUCAGGCCAGCAUCAGCUCGCUGUCGGGGACAAAAGCUUCGGGAACGUAGCUCCUCUCGGGGAGUGUUAUAGCCCGUUGCACAAUACCCUUCGGCGGGCUGAGGUACGCGCUCCGCAAGGAUGCUGGCAUAAUGGUCAUCAGCGACCCGUCUUGAAACACGGACCAAGGAGUCAACCUUAUGUGCGAGUGUUUGGGUGUUAAACCCCUACGCGUAAUGAAAGUGAACGUAGGUGAGAGCUUCGGCGCAUCAUCGACCGAUCCUGAUGUUCUCGGAUGGAUUUGAGUAAGAGCAUAUAGGGUUGGACCCGAAAGAAGAUGAACUAUGCGUGUAUAGGGUGAAGCCAGAGGAAACUCUGGUGGAGGCUCGCAGCGGUUCUGACGUGCAAAUCGAUCGUCAAAUAUGCGUCAAGGGGGCGAAAGACUAAUCGAUCCCUACUUGGGC